GUAUACAAAAUAGAUUGCAACUGUGGCCUCUCUUAUAUCGGGCAAACAAAAAGAAAUAUAGGGACCCGCGUAAAAGAACAUAUAGCUGACGUGAAACACCGACGCUCGACGAAGUCUGCAGUCGCUGAACACUCUGAGGGAGGCGCCAAUCAUUAUCUGCGACUAGAUGAGAAAAAAAUGAUUUAUAUAAUAAAUAAAUCAACACCCUCCGUCUAAUCUGUCCAUUGAAUACUCUAAUUAUUGUACUGAAAAACUGGCUUGAGUUUUAUAAAUCAUCCCCCAGAUAAGCUACGUAAUUAGGAGUGGCUGGGUGGAUGCUUUUUUCCUAAUUAAAAAUAAAUAUCAAAUGAACCUCGCAAAUCUUGGCGCUUCGAUGUAUGUGAGUUGUAAGUCAUAAGCUCGUGUUUGGUAGGAUAUAUUUUAUAUCCGCCCGGAUAGCGACCACCGUACACAAGGUGUUAAACCCGCCAUAGUGGCCAACGUGUGUCGGGUUCCGGGAUCAGCCUGUGUAUAUCAAGUUCCAACAGGCCGGCAUAUCGACUGCCGAGGGGUAAUCAUCUCUCGUCAGUCGACAUUCUAUUGGACACCACUCCAUUUACCAUGAGGUGCAAUGAGGACACUGCCGUACGCAUCUAAAGAAACAUGUUUAGAUGCUUAUUGUAGAUCUAUUCUAAUUACAGAUUACGUGAUGGCAACGGAAUAAAAUUGUAUAAUGAUUUCUUCUUUACGCGAAUGUUAGACAUUGAAAUAAAACUAUUUUUACAGAUUUUA